UGGGGAAUAUUGGACAAUGGGCGAAAGCCUGAUCCAGCCAUGCCGCGUGUGUGAAGAAGGUCUUCGGAUUGUAAAGCACUUUAAGUUGGGAGGAAGGGCAGUAAGCGAAUACCUUGCUGUUUUGACGUUACCGACAGAAUAAGCACCUGCUAACUCUGUGCCAGCAGCCGCGGUAAUACAGAGGGUGCAAGCGUUAAUCGGAAUUACUGGGCGUAAAGCGCGCGUAGGUGGUUCGUUAAGUUGAAUGUGAAAGCCCCGGGCUCAACCUGGGAACUGCAUCCAAAACUGGCGAGCUAGAGUAGGGCAGAGGGUGGUGGAAUUUCCUGUGUAGCGGUGAAAUGCGUAGAUAUAGGAAGGAACACCAGUGGCGAAGGCGACCACCUGGGCUCAUACUGACACUGAGGUGCGAAAGCGUGGGGAGCAAACAGG
rnacentral:rRNA from 1 species